rnacentral:rRNA from 1 species
UACGGAGGGUGCGAGCGUUAAUCGGAAUUACUGGGCGUAAAGGGUGCGUAGGUUGUUGAUUAAGUUAUCUGUGAAAUUCCUGGGCUUAACCUAGGCAGGUCAGAUAAGACUGAUUGACUCGAGUAUGGGAGAGGGUAGUGGAAUUUCCGGUGUAGCGGUGAAAUGCGUAGAGAUCGGAAGGAACACCAGUGGCGAAGGCGGCUACCUGGCCUAAUACUGACACUGAGGCACGAAAGCGUGGGGAGCAAACAGG